CAUAAUCCUUCAAUCCUUUCAAUAAUGUCUACUCAGCAAGCCUUGUUUUAUACAGAAAAAAUUAUAUAAAAGCCCUUGUUAAGAAAGGAAGAUCAGUACUCGGAGAAAAGAAAGAAAUAUUGCUAAGAAUUCAUUUGCUUAAUUCCCUCAAACUCAGUUAGCUCAAUGGACAGCUUUGCUCAACGGCUCAAGGAUAGAGCCGUGUGUCUCAUUGAUCUUGUCAAGUGUAGAAACUGCAGUGAGUCUCAAGAUAAUGGGUUUCCUCCGAAUUCGAAAAAAAUUGAGACAGAGAAGUCCCAGCUGAAAAUAUCUAUUCAAGAGCGAAAAUUGGGACCAAGUCACCCCGGUGUGAAGAGCCCUCCACCCUCUCAAACCAACUGAAGUAUCGGAUUUUUUUUUUUUAUAUAUUUAAUUUGUGAUGGACUUCUUUUUUAAUUGGUGUUUAUCUGUAUCUUAUUUACUAGAUUCUUGUGUAAUGUUUGUUCAUGGUUUUGUUAGCAAAGUUCAAGUUGUAUGACUGGCUUUGUUGGAAGUAUCCGGUUUGAGUGUUUUUCAAAAUUUAAUCCUUAUUGUCAAAUUUUUCUUUAAUGAAAUGAAAGUGUUGAGAGAAUUGUUUACUCUU